rnacentral:tRNA from 1 species
GGAUGUGGCUCAAGCGGUAGCAGGCUCGCCUGGCAUGCGUGAGGCCUGGGUUCGAUCCUCAGCACCACAUACA